UAAUACCGCAUACGAUCUACGGAAGAAAGCGGGGGAUCUUCGGACCUCGCGCUAUAGGGGCGGCCGAUGGCAGAUUAGCUAGUUGGUGGGGUAAAGGCCUACCAAGGCGACGAUCUGUAGCUGGUCUGAGAGGACGACCAGCCACACUGGGACUGAGACACGGCCCAGACUCCUACGGGAGGCAGCAGUGGGGAAUUUUGGACAAUGGGGGAAACCCUGAUCCAGCAAUGCCGCGUGUGUGAAGAAGGCCUUCGGGUUGUAAAGCACUUUUGUCCGGAAAGAAAACUUCCUGGUUAAUACCUGGGGAGGCUGACGGUACCGGAAGAAUAAGCACCGGCUAACUACGUGCCAGCAGCCGCGGUAAUACGUAGGGUGCGAGCGUUAAUCGGAAUUACUGGGCGUAAAGCGUGCGCAGGCGGUUUGUUAAGACAGAUGUGAAAUNCCNGGGCUUAACCUGGGAACUGCAUUNGUGACUG
rnacentral:rRNA from 1 species